AGAGUUUGAUCCUGGCUCAGAGUGAACGCUGGCGGCAGGCCUAACACAUGCAAGUCGAGCGGCAGCGCGGGGGCAACCCUGGCGGCGAGCGGCGGACGGGUGAGGAAUGCAUCGGAAUCUACCUCGUUGUGGGGGAUAACCUCGGGAAACCGGGACUAAUACCGCAUACGACCUACGGGUGAAAGUGGGGGACCUUCGGGCCUCACGCGAUGAGAUGAGCCGAUGCCGGAUUAGCUAGUUGGCGGGGUAAAGGCCCACCAAGGCGACGAUCCGUAGCUGGUCUGAGAGGAUGAUCAGCCACACUGGAACUGAGACACGGUCCAGACUCCUACGGGAGGCAGCAGUGGGGAAUAUUGGACAAUGGGCGCAAGCCUGAUCCAGCCAUGCCGCGUGUGUGAAGAAGGCCUUCGGGUUGUAAAGCACUUUUGUUGGGGAAGAAACCGGCCGGAUUAAUACUUCGGUUGAAUGACGGUACCCAAAGAAUAAGCACCGGCUAACUUCGUGCCAGCAGCCGCGGUAAUACGAAGGGUGCAAGCGUUACUCGGAAUUACUGGGCGUAAAGCGUGCGUAGGCGGUUUGUUAAGUCUGUCGUGAAAGCCCCGGGCUCAACCUGGGAAUGGCGAUGGAUACUGGCAAGCUAGAGUGUGUCAGAGGAUGGUGGAAUUCCCGGUGUAGCGGUGAAAUGCGUAGAGAUCGGGAGGAACACCAGUGGCGAAGGCGGCCAUCUGGGACAC
rnacentral:rRNA from 1 species